UCCAGACUCCUACGGGAGGCAGCAGUGGGGAAUAUUGCACAAUGGGGGGAACCCUGAUGCAGCGACGCCGCGUGGGUGAAGGAGCACCUCGGUGCGUAAAGCCCUAUCGGCAGGGAAGAAACAGACGGUACCUGACUAAGAAGCCCCGGCUAACUACGUGCCAGCAGCCGCGGUAAUACGUAGGGGGCAAGCGUUAUCCGGAUUCACUGGGUGUAAAGGGAGCGUAGACGGCGACGCAAGUCUGGAGUGAAAGCCCGGGGCCCAACCCCGGGACUGCUCUGGAAACUGCGUCGCUGAAGUACGGGAGGGGCAGGCGGAAUUCCUGGUGUAGCGGUGAAAUGCGUAGAUAUCAGGAGGAACACCGGCGGCGAAGGCGGCCUGCUGGACCGUGACUGACGUUGAGGCUCGAGAGCGUGGGGAGCAAACAGGAUUAGAUACCCCAGUA
rnacentral:rRNA from 1 species